CCGGGUGCCAUUGCAGGAUGCAGAAAGCCUCAGUGUUGCUCUUCCUGGCCUGGGUCUGCUUCCUCUUCUACGCUGGCAUUGCCCUCUUCACCAGUGGCUUCCUGCUCACCCGUUUGGAGCUCACCAACCAUAGCAGCUGCCAAGAGCCCCCAGGCCCUGGGUCCCUGCCAUGGGGGAGCCAAGGAAAACCUGGGGCCUGCUGGAUGGCUUCCCGAUUUUCGCGGGUUGUGUUGGUGCUGAUAGAUGCUCUGCGAUUUGACUUCGCCCAGCCCCAGCACUCCCACGUGCCUGGAGAGCCUCCUGUCUCCCUACCCUUCCUGGGCAAACUAAGCUCCUUGCAGAGGAUCCUGGAGAUUCAGCCCCACCAUGCCCGGCUCUACCGAUCUCAGGUUGACCCUCCUACCACUACCAUGCAGCGCCUCAAGGCCCUCACCACUGGCUCACUGCCUACCUUUAUUGAUGCUGGUAGUAACUUCGCCAGCCACGCCAUAGUGGAAGACAAUCUCAUUAAGCAGCUCACCAGUGCAGGAAGGCGUGUAGUCUUCAUGGGAGAUGAUACCUGGAAAGACCUUUUCCCUGGUGCUUUCUCCAAAGCUUUCUUCUUCCCAUCCUUCAAUGUCAGAGACCUAGACACAGUGGACAAUGGCAUCCUGGAACACCUCUACCCCACCAGUGAGCAUGGGGCCAGAGCACUUAGUUCUAAGAGUGGGAGCUGGGGAGAACUGCUUUAGUCCACAAAUUCUGAGCCACCCAUGGGUAUAACAGCCUGGGCUUGUAUCCCUGGACAUAGAGGAGUGUCAAAGCCUGGCUGGGGUUGAGGAGUGGGUCUUAGUCUUCUGUGCUCAGUGUUCUCCCCUUCACAGUGGACAGUGGUGAAUGGGACGUGCUGAUUGCUCACUUCCUGGGUGUGGACCACUGUGGCCACAAGCAUGGCCCUCACCACCCUGAAAUGGCCAAGAAACUUAGCCAGAUGGACCAGGUGAUCCAGUGAGUGUGGGGUAUUGGCUGGGGGAGUGGGUUUGUGUCUGAGAAUCUCGAAGAAGCUCUUAUCUUAGAGCUUCUUUCCUGGCUGAAUUCUGUCUUCUCUAGGCCUUCUGCUGAAGCUAGAGGCUCCAUCCAUCUUGAUUAACUCAAUGUGUAGCUUUGGGCAUCAGGAUCAUGGCCGAAGACACGUCUCUUUGCCAAAGGUCUAGGCCUUACUAAUGGAGUUAUAGCUGGGGAUGAAUAGGCCCCUGGAGAAAAAUCUUUUUUCUUUUUGAGAAAAAUAUUUAUUCGUUUCUACUCCUGACACAUUUCUUGGCCCCCAGGGGACUUGUGGAGCGUCUGGAGAAUGACACACUGCUGGUAGUGGCUGGGGACCAUGGGAUGACCACAAAUGGAGACCAUGGAGGGGACAGUGAGCUGGAGGUCUCAGCUGCUCUCUUUCUGUAUAGCCCCACAGCACUCUUCCCCAGCACCCCACCAGAGGUGAGGCCUGGGAUGUUCCUCAUCUGUUCUCCCAGUAAUCAGCCCAUGUUACCAUCACAGCAUCCUCAUGAAUACCUCUAUUUUAGGCCCCCAAAUCCAUGAUCCUGGGUAUCCCCCACUCUCAUUUCUUACCUAGGCCCCUAUGUCUGCCAUCCCAAAUAUUGACUUCAGCUUUGUGAUGAAUCUAUUGACCACUGUCAUUUCCCUUUAGGAGCCAGAGGUGAUUCCUCAAGUUAGCCUUGUGCCCACGCUGGCCCUGCUGCUGGGCCUGCCCAUCCCAUUUGGGAAUAUCGGGGAAGUGAUGGCUGAGCUAUUCUCAGGGGGUGAGGACUCCCAGCCCCACUCCUCUGCUUUAGCCCAAGCCUCAGCUCUCCAUCUCAAUGCUCAGCAGGUAGGUAAGCGGGCUGGGUUUCCAGGUGACAGAGCUAGAGUGGGCGUGAAAGAAGCAUAAUGAACCACUCUAUUGUCCUUUGACUAGUCUUAGUCCCACCUUCCAUACCUAUCCCUCUUCCGUUAUCCCUCCCUUCCCUGAUCCCGGACAGAGUUUGGGUCCUUGACUUCCAGGUACCCCCUUUUGUAAUACCUAUUUUUGUCUCUGCCCCAAUUUAUGUCUCUGACCUGUUCCCCUUGGCCUCUGACCUUUUCUCUGCCAGGUGUCCCGAUUUCUUCAUACCUACUCAGCUGCUACUCAGGACCUUCAAGCUAAGGAGCUUCAUCAGCUGCAGAACCUCUUCUCCAAGGCCUCUGCUGACUACCAGUGGCUUCUCCAGAGCCCCAGGGGGGCGGAGGCGACACUGCCGACUGUGAUUGCUGAGCUGCAGCAGUUCCUGCGGGGAGCUCGGGCCAUGUGCAUCGAGUCUUGGGCUCGUUUCUCUCUGGUCCGCAUGGCGGGGGGUACUGCUCUCUUGGCUGCUUCCUGCUUUAUCUGCCUGCUGGCAUCUCAGUGGGCAAUAUCCCCAGGCUUUCCAUUUCGCCCUCUACUGAUACCUGUGGCCUGGGGCCUGGUUGGCGCCAUAGCUUAUGCUGGACUCCUGGGAACUAUUGAGCUGAAGCUAGAUCUAGUGCUUCUAGGGGCUGUGGCUGCAGUGAGUUCAUUCCUGCCUUUUCUGUGGAAAGCCUGGGCUGGCUGGGGGUCCAAGAGGCCCCUGGCAACCCUGUUUCCCAUCCCUGGGCCCGUCCUGUUACUCCUGCUGUUUCGCUUGGCUGUGUUCUUCUCUGAUAGUUUUGUUGUAGCUGAGGCCAGGGCCACCCCCUUCCUUUUGGGCUCAUUCAUCCUGCUCCUGGUUGUCCAGCUUCACUGGGAGGGCCAGCUGCUUCCACCUAAGCUGCUCACAAUGCCCCGCCUUGGCACUUCAGCCACAACAAACCCCCCACGGCACAAUGGUGCAUAUGCCCUGAGGCUUGGAAUUGGGUUGCUUUUAUGUACGAGGCUAGCUGGGCUUUUUCAUCGUUGCCCUGAAGAGACACCUGUUUGCCAGUCCUCUCCCUGGCUGAGUCCUCUGGCAUCCAUGGUGGGUGGUCGAGCCAAGAAUUUGUGGUAUGGAGCUUGUGUGGCGGCGCUGGUGGCCCUGUUAGCUGCUGUGCGCUUGUGGCUUCGCCGCUAUGGUAAUCUCAAGAGCCCUGAGCCACCCAUGCUCUUUGUGCGCUGGGGACUGCCCCUAAUGGCAUUGGGUACUGCUGCCUACUGGGCAUUGGCAUCGGGGGCAGAUGAGGCUCCCCCCCGUCUCCGGGUCCUGGUCUCUGGGGCAUCCAUGGUGCUGCCUCGGGCUGUAGCAGGGCUGGCUGCUUCAGGGCUCGCACUGCUGCUCUGGAAGCCUGUGACGGUGCUGGUGAAGGCUGGGGCAGGCGCUCCAAGGACCAGGACUGUCCUCACUCCCUUCUCAGGCCCCCCCACUUCUCAAGCUGACCUGGAUUAUGUGGUCCCUCAAAUCUACCGACACAUGCAGGAGGAGUUCCGGGGCCGGUUAGAGAGGACCAAAUCUCAGGGUCCCCUGACUGUGGCUGCUUAUCAGUUGGGGAGUGUCUACUCAGCUGCUAUGGUCACAGCCCUCACCCUGUUGGCCUUCCCACUUCUGCUGUUGCAUGCGGAGCGCAUCAGCCUUGUGUUCCUGCUUCUGUUUCUGCAGAGCUUCCUUCUCCUACAUCUGCUUGCUGCUGGGAUACCCAUCACCACCCCUGGUCCUUUUACUGUGCCAUGGCAGGCAGUCUCGGCUUGGGCCCUCAUGGCCACACAGACCUUCUACUCCACAGGCCACCAGCCUGUCUUUCCAGCCAUCCAUUGGCAUGCAGCCUUCGUGGGAUUCCCAGAGGGUCAUGGCUCCCGUACUUGGCUGCCUGCUUUGCUAGUGGGAGCCAACACCUUUGCCUCCCACCUCCUCUUUGCAGGCAGUAGGUUGCCCACUGCUCCUGCUCUGGCCUUUCCUGUGUGAGAGUCAAGGGCUGCGGAAGAGACAGCAGCCCCCAGGGAAUGAAGCUGAUUCCAGAGUCAGACCCGAGGAGGAAGAGGAGCCACUGAUGGAGAUGCGGCUCCGGGAUGGGCCUCACCACUUCUAUGCAGCACUGCUGCAGCUGGGCCUCAAGUACCUCUUUAUCCUUGGUAUUCAGGUGGGUGUAGGAGAGAGAUCAGGGAGUUGGUGUUUUUUCUUCGUGUGUGCAUCACUUUCUUUCAGACCUUCAAAACCGCGGGAGAGAGCCUUGACUGAAGUUCACAUAAGUGAAGUGGUUGCCCAAGCCCAGUGGCCUCAAAUGGCAGCUCUGAGACUUGAACCUGGGUCUCCUUAAUCCUGGAUCAUUUCCCCUCUACAAGCUAGAUCUGGACCCUGCUAGUUGCAUUUGAGGAUUACUCUAUCAGUGGACAGACUGGAAAAACUGAGUUGAUAGCCAGGAUUUUCUUCCCAAACUGUGGUCAUGGAUCCUCUUCCUUUCCUCCAGAGGCAGAUGUGGCACUGAUAUCUUCCUCCAUCCUGGGGGCAGAGCCUGAGUGUUAGCAUUGCAGAUGGAUAAUGACUUGCCCCAAGUCACAUAGUGAGUCUGCUUGGGGCAGGACAGGAAGUAGGUCUCCUAACUCCUAGCCCAGGACAUGCAAUAUUUUUUCCACCGACAUGCACUAUUCUGCUUCCAUUUUUUACAGGGGCCUAUAGAAACUCUCCCUUUGCCCUGCUUCCUCCUCUCCUUCACAAGUAACGUGGCCCCUCCUCUCCUCCUCUAGAUUCUGGCCUGUGCCUUGGCAGCCUCCAUCCUUCGCAGGCAUCUCAUGGUCUGGAAAGUGUUUGCCCCUAAGUGAGUAGAUUUGCUUGAGAAGUAGAGGUGGUGGGGAGGGAGAAACUUGGAACAAAGUAUGAAGAUCCUAAACAUCCAGGAUGGCCAAGGUUUUGCCUCUACAGGAACCUACUCUGUUCCCUGAGAUUCUCCACCUUUCUUUGCAGGUUCAUUUUUGAGGCGGUGGGCUUCAUUGUGAGCAGCGUGGGACUUCUCCUGGGCAUAGCUUUGGUGAUGAGAGUGGAUGGUGCUGUGAGCUCCUGGUUCAGGCAGCUAUUUCUGGCCCAGCAGAGGUAGCCUAGGCUGUGAUUACUGGCACUUGGCUACAGAGAGUGCUGGAGAACAGUGUAGCCUGGCCGUACAGGUACUGGAUGAUCUGCAAGACAGGCUCAGCCCUACCUCUUACUACCAUGCAGCCAGGGGCCGCUGGCUUCCAGGACUUCAUCAUUCUAUAAUUCAGGACCACAGUGCAGUAGGAUCCCUAACUCCUGAGUUGGAUGCAUCUGAGGGACAAGGAGGGUGGUCUCCGAAGUGGAAUAAAAUAGGCCGGGCGUGGUGGCUUGCACCUAUAAUCCCAGCACUUUGGGAGGCAGAGGCGGGAGGAUUGCUUGGUCCCGGGAGUUCAAGACCAGCCUGUGGAACGUAACAAGACCCCGUCUCUACUAUUUAAAAAAAAGUGGAAUAAAAUGAUAAUAU
rnacentral:sRNA from 1 species